rnacentral:rRNA from 1 species
CUCGUAGGCGGCCAACUAAGUCAGACGUGAAAUCCCUCGGCUUAACCGGGGAACUGCGUCUGAUACUGGAUGGCUUGAAUCCGGGAGAGGGAUGCGGAAUUCCAGGUGUAGCGGUGAAAUGCGUAGAUAUCUGGAGGAACACCGGUGGCGAAGGCGACAUCCUGGACCGGUAUUGACGCUGAGUGAGCGAAAGCCAGGGAGCAAACG